GGGCAGAUGCCAGAGUGGCCAAAUGGAGCAGACUGUAAAUCUGCCGGCUUACGCCUUCGGGGGUUCGAAUCCCUCUCUGCCCA
rnacentral:tRNA from 2 species